AGCGAACGCUGGCGGCAGGCCUAACACAUGCAAGUCGAACGAAGUCUUCGGACUUAGUGGCGGACGGGUGAGUAACACGUGGGAACGUGCCUUUAGGUUCGGAAUAAGCCCGGGAAACUGGGUCUAAUACCGAAUGUGCCCUUCGGGGGAAAGAUUUAUCGCCUUUAGAGCGGCCCGCGUCUGAUUAGCUAGUUGGUGAGGUAAUGGCUCACCAAGGCGACGAUCAGUAGCUGGUCUGAGAGGAUGACCAGCCACAUUGGGACUGAGACACGGCCCAAACUCCUACGGGAGGCAGCAGUGGGGAAUCUUGCGCAAUGGGCGAAAGCCUGACGCAGCCAUGCCGCGUGGAUGAUGAAGGUCUUAGGAUUGUAAAAUCCUUUCACCGGUGAAGAUAAUGACUGUAGCCGGAGAAGAAGCCCCGGCUAACUUCGUGCCAGCAGCCGCGGUAACAC
rnacentral:rRNA from 1 species